rnacentral:lncRNA from 1 species
AAAAUUAAAAAAGGAAAAAAAAAUAAUACUUGCUUCACUAUUUUGGUAGAUUGAUAAUUAAAAUAUUUAUAAAUAAACUUAACAAUAUUUGUUAAAAGAAAUUUCUUAUACAAGUCAAAUAUAUAUUAAUAUAUCAAAAAUUUAUAAAACAAAAAACAAAUUAUAUUUUUCUCAAUGGGUUAAUAAAAGUCUUUUUGAUUUUCAAAUACUUUUACUAUAUUCAUU